AAGGAAUUAGGUUAAUGGUAAACCAGGGGCCUUCAAAGUCUUAAAUAGGGGUUCAAUUCCGCUAUUCUUUG
rnacentral:tRNA from 1 species